rnacentral:rRNA from 1 species
AUGGCUGUCGUCAGGCUCGUGUCGUGAGAUGUUGGGUUAAGUCCCGCAACGAGCGCAACCCCUGUCCUAUGUUGCCAGCAUUGAGUUGGGACUCAUAGGAGACUGCCGGCGUCAAGCCGGAGGAAGGUGGGAUGACGUCAAGUCAUCAUGCCCCUUAUGUCCUGGGCUGCACACGUGCUACAAUGGCCGGCACAAUGGGCAGCGACAUAGCGAUAUGAAGCCAAUCCCUAGAAAGCCGGUCUCAGUCCGGAUUGGAGUCUGCAACUCGACUCCAUGAAGUUGGAAUCGCUAGUAAUCGCGGAUCAGCAUGCCGCGGUGAAUACCGUUCCCGGGCCUU